AAUUAUCAACUUCUAUAACUUUUGUUAUUGAAGCUUGGACUUGGAGGUUGUGUUGGCUUGUGAAAGUCAGCUCCUCUGAAAUGUAUUAGCGUGAAUCUUACGGAUCGCCUUCAGUGUGAUAAUUAUCUACGCUGUGGUGUUGAAGUAUUUAAUGUCAUGCUUCUAAUCGUCUGCAAGGACAAUUACUUGACA
rnacentral:misc_RNA from 1 species